GACGAACGCUGGCGGCGUGCCUAAUACAUGCAAGUCGAGCGCUCAGGCUUGGUGCUUGUACCUCCUGCAUUAGCAGCGGACGGGUGAGUAACGCGUGGAGAAUCUGCCUAUGAGCGGGGGAUAACUUCUGGAAACGAGUGCUAAUACCGCAUAAUAACUUUAACCACAUGUUUCAAGUUUGAAAGAUGCAAUUGCAUCACCCAAUGAUUAUCCCGCGUCGCAUUAGCUAGUUGGUAAGGUAAAGGCUUACCAAGGCGAUGAUACGUAGCCGACCUGAGAGGGUGAUCGGCCACAUUGGAACUGAGACACGGUCCAGACUCCUACGGGAGGCAGCAGUAGGGAAUCUUCGGCAAUGGACGAAAGCCUGACCGAGCAACGCCGCGUGAGUGAAGAAGGUCUUCGGAUCGUAAAACUCUGUUGGUAGGGAAGAACGUUGGUGAAAGUGGAUAGGUAAUCAAGGGAGGUAAACUACCCAAAAAGGACCGCUUAAUUAGUU
rnacentral:rRNA from 1 species